UGAGAGUUUGAUCCUGGCUCAGAGUUAACGUUGGCGGCGUGCGUAACACAUGCAAGUCGAACGAGAACCGGGGAGCUUGCUCCCCGGGGACAGUGGCGAACGGGUGAGUAACACGUGAGUAAUCUGCCCUCGAGCGGGGGAUAACUCCGCGAAAGCGGAGCUAAUACCGCAUGAUACUUUGGAGCAUAAGCUUUCAAAGUCAAAGCUUUCGGGUGCUUGAGGAUGAGCUCGCGGCCUAUUAGCUUGUUGGUAGGGUAACGGCCUACCAAGGCAAUGAUGGGUAGCCGGCCUGAGAGGGUGUACGGUCACACUGGGACUGCGACGCGGCCCAGACUCCUACGGGAGGCAGCAGUGGGGAAUUUUGCGCAAUGGGCGAAAGCCUGACGCAGCGACGCCGCGUGGAGGACGAAGGCCUUCGGGUUGUAAACUCCUUUUCUGGGGGACGAAUAAGGUAAGUAGGUAAUGGCUUACCGAUGACGGUACCCCAGGAACAAGCGCCGGCUAACUUCGUGCCAGCAGCCG
rnacentral:rRNA from 1 species